CUUUCCCAUAUCUACGUCUUUUAUUGUAGAAAGGUAAUAUGUUACCAGUGUCCUCUAAGGCAACAAACUCAAAUAGAUUAAUCUCAAAUGCAUAUCUGCCCUGGGAUUUCCGCCACAUUCAAGCAACUGCAGUGAAAAUUUCAGCUGUAAAUGACUGAGUAACAAUAUUGCUAUUUUUGCUGUUGAAUUUCAAGAUAUACUUCACAGUAAGCAGCAUCACUGUUUGAAAGUAAGGCUCUGAGGACCCUUCCAGCUCAUGGGAAAGCACUUUACAAAUCAUCCUUGUGAAAAUAAUAUAAACUUUCUCUUCUCCCCCUCUCUGACAAAAGGUGUGAAUUGCCUCCAGUGACAUUGUUUCCAUCAGUCUUGCUGUCAUGCGAAGUAUCCAGUCCUGUAAGACAAAGAAGCAACUUUCCCAUGCACUGAGUGGUUCUAGGGGUGAAUGCUGCAAAGGAGCCAAAGACCAUGAGGAGGACUCUGAACUCUUAACUUCAUCUUCCAAUUUCAAAAAGCUGGACAAAUGGCAAUGGAAAAGGAGCCCAGAAAACAAUUUGUUUAUUAUAAGCAGGUCAGUCCUCCGGGGAAUUCGUGGAAUCAUGCAGUGGGAGAGGACAAUCACGGCACUGAAAUGGGUCUGGAGGAUCUGACAUUAAGAAACAUGGCAAUGACCAACAGAAAGAAGAAAGUACAACUGCUCCUGGGAUUUUCAAUCUUCUCAUUGAUAGAUCUUAUUAAAGAAUGCCUAAGAAUUUAUAUAUAUAUAUAUAUAUAUAUAUAUAUAUUUCCACAACAAAAUAUAAUAGUACUUGUUGCAUUAGAAAUAUGUCAAGAACACUUUGGGGAUGCAUCAAACUAUAUUUCAGAAAUAAGUGUCCAAAUGUUGAUUUUUUAAUUUUUUUUUUUUUUUUUUUUUGAGUGAUACACUGUAUUUAUUAUUAGGACAAAAUCUGUCACGCAGAAAAGAUUUUUUAGCCCUUAGGUGUACUCAUGAAUGUGCAAAAACUACUUCAACAGUGGAGAGCCUCAGCAAAUUGUUGUAAACACGUGUCCUUGCAUGUAGAUCUUCAUGUAUGUACAGGUAUAGAUUGAUAAAGAUAUAUUGAAGUAAAUGUUUCAAGGGAAAACAAUUCAAGACUUUAUGAAACUUAAAUAAACCUCAGUUGG
ensembl:lncRNA